rnacentral:rRNA from 1 species
ACGGUAUCGACAUAAGAAGCACCGGCUAACUACGUGCCAGCAGCCGCGGUAAUACGUAGGGUGCAAGCGUUAAUCGGAAUUAUUGGGCGUAAAGGGUGCGCAGGCUGUGUUGUAAGUCAGAUGUGAAAUCCCCGGGCUUAACCUGGGAAUUGCGUUUGAAACUGCAAUGCUAGAGUGUGAUAGAGGAGAGUGGAAUUCCAUGUGUAGCAGUGAAAUGCGUAGAGAUGUGGAAGAACACCAAUGGCGAAGGCAGCUCUCUGGAUUAACACUGACGCUCAUGCACGAAAGCGUGGGGAGCAAACAGGAUUAGAUACCCUGGUAGUCCACGCCCUAAACUAUGUCAACUAGUUGUCGGGUCUGUUCAAGGAUUUGGUAACGAAGCUAACGCAUGAAGUUGACCGCCUGGGAAGUACGGUCGCAAGAUUAAAACUCAAAGGAAUUGACGGGGACCCGCACAAGCGGUGGAUUAUGUGGAUUAAUUCGAUGCAACGCGAAAAACCUUACCUACCCUUGACAUGCUUAAAAUUUUGCAGAGAUGUAAAAGUGCCCGAAAG